GACGAACCGAGCGAACGUUAUUCGGAAUCACUGGGCUUAAAGGGCGCGUAGGCGGGCUCGCGAGUCAGGGGUGAAAGCCCCCAGCCCAACUGGGGAAGUGCCUUUGAUACUGCGAGCCUCGAGGGAGGUAGGGGCGUGCGGAACUUCCGGUGGAGCGGUGAAAUGCGUAGAUAUCGGAAGGAACACCGGUGGCGAAAGCGGCGCGCUGGACCUCUUCUGACGCUGAGGCGCGAAAGCCAGGGGAGCGAACGGGAUUAGAUACCCCCGUAGUCCUGGCCCUAAACGAUGGGCACUAGGUUGUGGGCUUACAUGGGCUCACAGCCGAAGCAAAAGUGUUAAGUGCCCCGCCUGGGGAGUAUGGUCGCAAGGCUGAA
rnacentral:rRNA from 1 species